UUAAGUUCAGCGGGUAUCCUUAUCUGAUCUGAGGUCAAACCUUGAGAUGGGUAGGUUUUGUUCAGGCCGUACCGGUCGCGCUCCCUCCAACAAGUAGGUUUACUAUGUUUUCGGUCAGGCGGAUCGGCCAGCAGAGCUUACAACUUUAAAGCCGGGGCGGGUUUUGACGCCGUUCCGGGCUCAUGACCGACUGGUGUCGA
rnacentral:misc_RNA from 1 species